UCCUACGGGGGGCAGCAGUGGGGAAUCUUGCGCAAUGGGCGAAAGCCUGACGCAGCGACGCCGCGUGAGUGAUGAAGGCCUUCGGGUUGUAAAGCUCUGUGGGGAGAGACGAAUAAGUGCAGGCUAAUACCCUGCAUGAUGACGGUAUCUCCUUAGCAAGCACCGGCUAACUCUGUGCCAGCAGCCGCGGUAAGACAGAGGGUGCAAACGUUGUUCGGAAUUACUGGGCGUAAAGCGAGUGUAGGCGGUUUUGUAAGUCGGGUGUGAAAGCCCUGGGCUCAACCCAGGAAGUGCACUCGAAACUGCAAGGCUAGAGUAUCGGAGAGGUUGGUGGAAUUCUCGGUGUAGAGGUGAAAUUCGUAGAUAUCGAGAGGAACACCGGUGGCGAAGGCGGCCAACUGGACGAAUACUGACGCUGAGACUCGAAAGCGUGGGGAGCAAACAGGAUUAGAUACCCCGGUAGUCCA
rnacentral:rRNA from 1 species